GCAAACUUGGUCAUUUAGAGGAAGUAAAAGUCGUAACAAGGUUUCCGUAGGUGAACCUGCGGAAGGAUCAUUAUUGAAUAAAUCUGGCGCUGCGUUGUUGCUGGCUCUCCGGAGCAUGUGCACACCUCGUCACCUUUAUCUUUCCACCUGUGCACACACUGUAGUCCUGGAUACCUCUCGCCGCAAGGCGGAUGCGAAGCCUGCCGUGCCCUCCUUGGGUCGGCUUGCUUUGAAUUUCCAGGUCUACGAUUUUACACACCCCAAACGAAUGUUAUAGAAUGUAUAUCACUGGGCCUUUGUGCCUAUAAACCUUAUACAACUUUCAACAACGGAUCUCUUGGCUCUCGCAUCGAUGAAGAACGCAGC
rnacentral:misc_RNA from 1 species